GAUGAACGCUAGCGGCAGGCCUAACACAUGCAAGUCGAGGGGCAGCACAGAAACAGCAAUGUUUUGGUGGCGACCGGCGGACGAGUGCGUAACGCGUAUGCAACCUACCUUUAACAGGGGGAUAACGGAGAGAAAUUUCCACUAAUACCCCAUAACAUCGAUCAAGGCAUCUUGAUUGGUUGAAAACUCCGGUGGUUAAAGAUGGGCAUGCGUUGUAUUAGGUAGUUGGUGAGGUAAUGGCUCACCAAGCCUACGAUACAUAGGGGGACUGAGAGGUUAGCCCCCCACACUGGUACUGGGACACGGACCAGACUCCUACGAGAGGCAGCAGUGAGGAAUAUUGGUCAAUGGGGGCAACCCUGAACCAGCCAUGCCGCGUGCAGGAAGACGGCUCUAUGAGUUGUAAACUGCCUUUAAACAGGGAUAAAGCACAGUAUGUAUACUGUGUUGAAGGUACUGUAAGAAUAAGGAUCGGCUAACUCCGUGCCAGCCGCCGCAGUAA
rnacentral:rRNA from 1 species